ACGGCCGCAUCACAUUGAAACGCUGGUUCCCGUACGAUCAACGAAGUUAAGUCAACGUCAAUCAGGUCAGUGCUUAGAUGGGUGACCAUUUGGGAAUACCAAGUGCUGUAA